GGAUCCAGAACUUUGAUUCUGGCUCAGGAUGAACGCUAGCUACAGGCUUAACACAUGCAAGUCGAGGGGAAACGAUAUUGGAAGCUUGCUUCCGGUAGGCGUCGACCGGCGCACGGGUGAGUAACGCGUAUCCAACCUGCCCAUCACUUGGGGAUAACCUUGCGAAGGUAAGACUAAUACCCAAUGACGUCUCUAGAAGACAUCUGAAAGAGAUUAAAGAUUUAUCGGUGAUGGAUGGGGAUGCGUCUGAUUAGCUUGUUGGCGGGGUAACGGCCCACCAAGGCAACGAUCAGUAGGGGUUCUGAGAGGAAGGUCCCCCACAUUGGAACUGAGACACGGUCCAAACUCCUACGGGAGGCAGCAGUGAGGAAUAUUGGUCAACGGACGAGAGUCUGAACCAGCCAAGUAGCGUGCAGGAUGACGGCCCUAUGGGUUGUAAACUGCUUUUAUAAGGGAAUAAAGUGAGUCUCGUGAGACUUUUUGCAUGUACCUUAUGAAUAAGGACCGGCUAAUUCCGUGCCAGCAGCCGCGGUAAUACGGAAGGUCCGGGCGUUAUCCGGAUUUAUUGGGUUUAAAGGGAGCGUAGGCCGGAGAUUAAGCGUGUUGUGAAAUGUAGACGCUCAACGUCUGCACUGCAGCGCGAACUGGUUUCCUUGAGUACGCACAAAGUGGGCGGAAUUCGUGGUGUAGCGGUGAAAUGCUUAGAUAUCACGAAGAACUCCGAUUGCGAAGGCAGCUCACUGGAGCGCAACUGACGCUGAAGCUCGAAAGUGCGGGUAUCGAACAGGAUUAGAUACCCUGGUAGUCCGCACGGUAAACGAUGGAUGCCCGCUGUUGGUCUGAAUAGGUCAGCGGCCAAGCGAAAGCAUUAAGCAUCCCACCUGGGGAGUACGCCGGCAACGGUGAAACUCAAAUGAAUUGACGG
rnacentral:rRNA from 1 species